rnacentral:rRNA from 1 species
GAGGUGCUUGCACUUCGUGGAAACCGGCGAACGGGUGAGUAACACGUGAGAAACCCACCCUUCACACCGGGAUAACCCAAGGAAACUUGGGCUAAUACCGGAUACCCCACAUCUUUCGCAUGAUUGAUGUUGGAAAGUUCAGACGGUGAAGGACGGUCUCGCGACCUAUCAGGUAGUUGGUGAGGUAACGGCUCACCAAGCCGACGACGGGUAGCUGGAGUGAGAGCUCGAUCAGCCACACUGGGACUGAGACACGGCCCAGACUCCUACGGGAGGCAGCAGUAGAGAAUCUUGCACAAUGAGCGAAAGCUUGAUGCAGCCACGCCGCGUGAGGGACGAAGGCCUUCGGGUCGUAAACCUCUUUCAGCAGGGAAGAAGCGAAAGUGACGGUACCUGCACAAGAAGCUCCGGCUAACUACGUGCCAGCAGCCGCGGUAAUACGUAGGGAGCAAGCGUUGUCCGGAAUCAUUGGGCGUAAAGAGCGUGUAGGCGGUCCAGUAAGUCGGAUGUGAAAUCCAAGGGCUCAACCCUUGAACUGCACCCGAAACUGUUGGACUUGAGGAAGGUAGAGGAGAGUGGAAUUUCUGGUGUAGCGGUGGAAUGCGCAGAUAUCAGAAGGAACACCGAUGGCGAAGGCAGCUCUCUGGGCCUUACCUGACGCUGAGACGCGAAAGCAUGGGUAGCAAACAGGAUUAGAUACCCUGGUAGUCCAUGCCGUAAACGAUGGGUG